GACACGGUCCAAACUCCUACGGGAGGCAGCAGUGAGGAAUAUUGGUCAAUGGGCGAGAGCCUGAACCAGCCAAGUAGCGUGAAGGAUGACUGCCCUAUGGGUUGUAAACUUCUUUUAUAAAGGAAUAAAGUCGGGUAUGGAUACCCGUUUGCAUGUACUUUAUGAAUAAGGAUCGGCUAACUCCGUGCCAGCAGCCGCGGUAAUACGGAGGAUCCGAGCGUUAUCCGGAUUUAUUGGGUUUAAAGGGAGCGUAGAUGGAUGUUUAAGUCAGUUGUGAAAGUUUGCGGCUCAACCGUAAAAUUGCAGUUGAUACUGGAUAUCUUGAGUGCAGUUGAGGCAGGCGGAAUUCGUGGUGUAGCGGUGAAAUGCUUAGAUAUCACGAAGAACUCCGAUUGCGAAGGCAGCCUGCUAAGCUGCAACUGACAUUGAGGCUCGAAAGUGUGGGUAUCAAACAGGAUUAGAUACCCUGGUAGUCCACACGGUAAACGAUGAAUACUCGCUGUUUGCGAUAUACUGCAAGCGGCCAAGCGAAAGCGUUAAGUAUUCCACCUGGGGAGUACGCCGGCAACGGUGAAACUCAAAGGAAUUGACGGGGGCCCGCACAAGCGGAGGAACAUGUGGUUUAAUUCGAUGAUACGCGAGGAACCUUACCCGGGCUUAAAUUGCAGAUGAAUUACGGUGAAAGCCGUAAGCCGCAAGGCAUCUGUGAAGGUGCUGCAUGGUUGUCGUCAGCUCGUGCCGUGAGGUGUCGGCUUAAGUGCCAUAACGAGCGCAACCCUUGUUGUCAGUUACUAACAGGUUCCGCUGAGGACUCUGACAAGACUGCCAUCGUAAGAUGUGAGGAAGGUGGGGAUGACGUCAAAUCAGCACGGCCCUUACGUCCGGGGCUACACACGUGUUACAAUGGGGGGUACAGAGGGCCGCUACCACGCGAGUGGAUGCCAAUCCCCAAAACCUCUCUCAGUUCGGACUGGAGUCUGCAACCCGACUCCACGAAGCUGGAUUCGCUAGUAAUCGCGCAUCAGCCACGGCGCGGUGAAUACGUUCCCGGGCCUUGUACACACCGCCCGUCAAGCCAUGGGAGCCGGGGGUACCUGAAGUGCGUAACCGCGAGGAGCGCCCUAGGGUAAAACUGGUGACUGGGGCUAAGUCGUAACAAGGUAGCCGUACCGGAAGGUGCGGCUG
rnacentral:rRNA from 1 species